rnacentral:rRNA from 1 species
AGUGAACGCUGGCGGUAGGCCUAACACAUGCAAGUCGAACGGCAGCACAGUAAGAGCUUGCUCUUACGGGUGGCGAGUGGCGGACGGGUGAGGAAUACAUCGGAAUCUACUUUUUCGUGGGGGAUAACGUAGGGAAACUUACGCUAAUACCGCAUACGACCUACGGGUGAAAGCAGGGGAUCUUCGGACCUUGCGCGAUUGAAUGAGCCGAUGUCGGAUUAGCUAGUUGGCGGGGUAAAGGCCCACCAAGGCGACGAUCCGUAGCUGGUCUGAGAGGAUGAUCAGCCACACGGAAACUGGGACACGGUCCAGACUCCUACGGGAGGCAGCAGUGGGGAAUAUUGGACAAUGGGCACAAGCCUAAUCCAGCCAUCCCGCGGGGGUGAAGAAGGCCUUCGGGUUGUAAAGCCCUUUUGUUGGGAAAGAAAAGCAGCAGGUUAAUACCCCGCUGUUCUGACGGUACACAAAGAAUAAGCACCGGCUAACUUCGU